GAGGAAUAUUGGUCAAUGGAUGGAAAUCUGAACCAGCCAAGUAGCGUGCAGGAUGACGGCCCUAUGGGUUGUAAACUGCUUUUAUGUGAGAAUAAAGUUAGGUAUGUAUACUUAUUUGCAUGUAUCACAUGAAUAAGGACCGGCUAAUUCCGUGCCAGCAGCCGCGGUAAUACGGAAGGUCCAGGCGUUAUCCGGAUUUAUUGGGUUUAAAGGGUGCGUAGGCCGUUUGAUAAGCGUGCUGUGAAAUAUAGUGGCUCAACCUCUAUCGUGCAGCGCGAACUGUCGAACUUGAGUGCGUAGUAGGUAGGCGGAAUUCGUGGUGUAGCGAUGAAAUGCUUAGAUAUCACGAAGAACUCCGAUUGCGAAGGCAGCUUACCGUAACGUUACUGACGCUUAAGCACGAAGGUGCGGGUAUCGAACAGGAUUAGAUACCCUGGUAGUCCGCACAGUAAACGAUGGAUGCUCGCUGUUGGCCUUUAUGGUCAGUGGCUUAGCGAAAGCGUUAAGCAUCCCACCUGGGGAGUACGCCGGCAACGGUG
rnacentral:rRNA from 1 species